rnacentral:rRNA from 1 species
AGCAGCCGCGGUAAUUCCAGCUCCAAUAGCGUAUAUUAAAGUUGUUGCAGUUAAAAAGCUCGUAGUUGAAUUUCGGGGUUAGUAGGUUGGUCGUGCCUUUGGUAUGUACUGGUCUCACUGAUUCCUCCUUCUUGAAGAACUGUAAUGUCAUUAAUUUGGUGUUGCAGGGAAACAGGACUGUUACUUUGAAAAAAUUAGAGUAGUUUAAAGCAGGCUAACGCCUGAAUACAUUAGCAUGGAAUAAUGAAAUAGGACGUUUGAUCCUAUUUUGUUGGUUUCUAGGAUUGGCGUAAUGAUUAAUAGGGAUAGUUGGGGGCAUUAGUAUUCAAUUGUCAGAGGUGAAAUUCUUGGAUUUAUUGAAGACUGACUACUGCGAAAGCAUUUGCCAAGGAUGUUUUCAUUAAUCAAGAACGAAAGUUAGGGGAUCGAAGACGAUCAGAUACCGUCGUAGUCUUAACCAUAAACUAUGCCGACUAGGGAUCGGAUGAUGUUAAUUUUUAAUGACUCAUUCGGCGCCUUA